rnacentral:lncRNA from 1 species
UAUAUUUUAAAAUACUAUUGAUUUAGAAUUAUGUGAAAUAGGUAAAUACAAAAAAAAUAUACAUUUAUUAGCAACACUUAUUAUAUUUUCUUAAUAUGUUAUCUUUUAAGAACGGAGAGAGUGUAUUAUAAAAAAAAAUAACAAAUUUAAGUUACAAAUUUGGUUAUAUAUACACAUACUAUGACGUCAAAAUAAGAUAUCAAGCGAAGGUAUCACAAAACAGAACUUUUCAUAACCUGUCUAAACCCCAAUUGCUUACCUAUAUUUUUCUUAUUG